AUGGGAGCUAAUUGCUGUAUUGCUGCAAAGCAGAGGCCUCAGCCAUGUAUCAUUCCAGUUGAAGUGUCAGCUUACAGGAAUGUAAGACACUCCCCAUCAUGGAGCUUCCGAUGGGAUAACAGAACACAUAUAGAAGACAUAAUGGAAAUCCCCACAUUUUUGUCCAACCAUAGUAGUGGAAGCAUUAGGCCUGAAACAAAGAGUGGUUCCAUUGCGCCAACUGAAGGCUUUUCUAAUGGCGGUAGCCCUUCUGAACUGUUCCACAAGGUCAAGUGGCAGAAAUCAGAAAAGAAGAUGGAAACAUCUAAAGUUGCACAAUCUGAUCCUAGAGAUAGACCCACUGCAAGUAACUCCUCCCCCGAGGCAAAGCUUUGUAGGAAAUCACUAGACAUGGUAAGUGUUGCUUCAGAUACGAAGGCAUCAACCUCUGUCCCUUCAACACCACCUGUAGUAUCCAGAGCAGAUCCUUCAUCCUCUAGGGGGCAUUCUCUAGGGAUUGAUACAGACUCAAUGAGGAAAGCACGUCGCUCACCAGGAUAUCAACUAUAUAGACAGGUCUCAGACAGCAAGAUUCCAUCUCUCAGGUCUCUCAAUGAGAGCAACUCUCCUGAAGGAAGGCCUUCCCCCUCCAUGCUCUCAGUCUGCAGCAAUGAUUUAUCUGUAGCAGGAUCACAUGGAGAGUCAUCUGAUGGUUGGUCAAUGCGAACAUUUUCUGAAAUGGUUGCAUCAUCCCAAAGAGAGAGAUGGUCAAUUGAUAGUGAGCUCUUAGGUUCCGUUUCAAGUAAAAUGACUCGAUCAAAUGCUUCAAAUCGUACUACCGUCUCCCCUGACCAAGAGGUGUGCAAACUAUGUUUAAAGCCACUAAAGGAAAGGUCAGCGUGGAAUGCCCAGGAUCUGGGUGUUGUCGCUGUUUUAUUGUGUGGCCAUGUUUACCAUGCUGACUGCCUGGAUAGCUUAACUGCAGAAGCUGAGAAAUAUGAUCCUCCUUGUCCCGUAUGCACCCACGGUGAACAAUGUACUGUGAAGCUAUUCGGUAAGCUGGAAUCAAAGAUAAAGAACAAGAUACCUACAAAUGUGAUACUCGAUGGUGAUCUAGAUGGGAGCUCUAAGCAUCAAAAGAAAAGUAAGAGAGUUCCCAGAUUAGGCACAAGGAUCAGUAUGAAGGACUCAUUCAGUCGGCCAUUUUUGAGGAGGCAUUUCUCAAUUGGCUCCCGGCCACCCCGGUUAGUUUCAGAGAGCGAGUCAACAAGGAAGAAGGGCUUCUGGGCGAGGCACUGGAGAGAAUAG
rnacentral:rRNA from 1 species